AUGCUCCUGUCGCCGCCAACCCCGUGGCCGCGCGUCAAGCCCGUGCGCUUGAAUCGUCUCCCGCAGUGCAAAGACCGGCUCCUCUCGCUUCCCCGCGGCCGGCGGCCGAGGGCGCCGCGGCGGCUCGGCGUGUGCAUGGCCGAGAUGGCCUGGGUCGGGAGCGAGUCGCCCCGAGAGCUUGGGGUUUCUGACGGGGAGGGGGACGCGAUGCUGGGAGGCGACAAGUUGCCCGGUCCGAGGGCGGAGGCGGCGGCCACCCGGUGGACGCCCGUCGAGGCGGCGCUGAAUCGCAUGAGUAAAUGGCUGGUGGCUGUUUCUUUUGCUCUUGCAGCUCUUUGGAAGCGUGAUGCUGAAAUUAUGUGGGCUUUGAUGGGUGCGGUUGCGAACACUGUGCUUUCGUCCAUUCUUAAAAAGCUGCUCAACCACGAAAGGCCGGCACCGGCUUUGCGGUCUGAUCCUGGGAUGCCAUCAUCCCAUGCCCAAUCCAUUUUCUAUGCUGCAACAUUUCUAGUUCUUUCAGUGUUCUCCUGGCUUGGGACAAAUUAUCUGGCAAUGAUUCUUGGGGCUACAACUGUAGCAUUGGCCUCCUAUCUAUCAUGGCUACGGGUGUCGCAGCGUCUCCACACACUGAACCAGAUUCUCGUGGGCGCUGCUGUAGGAUCAGCCUUCAGCGCUCUGUGGUUCGCGCUCUGGCAUUUGCUCGUGCGGGAAGCUUUUGCUUCCUCGUUGUGGGUCCAAAUUCCAGUCGUCCUUGGUUCAGUAGUGUUCUCUGUUUCCUUCGUCGUCUACAUCAUUCAGCACUGGCUCAAGGAUGAGUAA
rnacentral:rRNA from 1 species